rnacentral:rRNA from 1 species
UGGGGAAUAUUGGACAAUGGGGGGAACCCUGAUCCAGCCAUGCCGCGUGUGUGAAGAAGGCCUUAUGGUUGUAAAGCACUUUAAGCGAGGAGGAGGGUACUGGUAUUAAUACUACCAGGUACUGGACGUUACUCGCAGAAUAAGCACCGGCUAACCCUGUGCCAGCAGCCGCGGUAAUACAGAGGGUGCGAGCGUUAAUCGGAUUUACUGGGCGUAAAGCGUGCGUAGGCGGCUAAUUGAGUCGGAUGUGAAAUCCGCGGGCUUAACUUGGGAAUUGCAUUCGAUACUGGUUAGCUAGAGUGUGGGAGAGGAUGGUAGAAUUCCAGGUGUAGCGGUGAAAUGCGUAGAGAUCAGGAGGAAUACCGAUGGAGAAGGCAGCCAUCUGGCCUAACACUGACGCUGAGGUACGAAAGCAUGGGGAGCAAACAGG